GCUGNNGAGUGGNGACGGGUGAGUAUACAUCGGAACGUGCCUAGUAGUGGGGGAUAACUACUCGAAAGAGUAGCUAAUACCGCAUGAGAUCUACGGAUGAAAGCAGGGGACCUUCGGGCCUUGUGCUACUAGAGCGGCUGAUGGCAGAUUAGGUAGUUGGUGGGGUAAAGGCUUACCAAGCCUGCGAUCUGUAGCUGGUCUGAGAGGACGACCAGCCACACUGGGACUGAGACACGGCCCAGACUCCUACGGGAGGCAGCAGUGGGGAAUUUUGGACAAUGGGCGAAAGCCUGAUCCAGCAAUGCCGCGUGCAGGAUGAAGGCCCUCGGGUUGUAAACUGCUUUUGUACGGAACGAAAAGCCUGGGGCUAAUAUCCCCGGGUCAUGACGGUACCGUAAGAAUAAGCACCGGCUAACUACGUGCCAGCAGCCGCGGUAAUACGUAGGGUGCAAGCGUUAAUCGGAAUUACUGGGCGUAAAGCGUGCGCAGGCGGUUUUGUAAGACAGUGGUGAAAUCCCCGGGCUCAACCUGGGAACUGCCAUUGUGACUGCAAGGCUAGAGUGCGGCAGAGGGGGAUGGAAUUCCGCGUGUAGCAGUGAAAUGCGUAGAUAUGCGGAGGAACACCGAUGGCGAAGGCAAUCCCCUGGGGCCUGCACUGACGCUCAUGCACGAAAGCGUGGGGAGCAAACAGGAUUAGAUACCCUGGUAGUCCACGCCGUAAACGAUGUCAACUUGGUUGUUGGGUCUUAACUGACUCAGUAACGAAGCUAACGCGUGAAGUUGACCGCCUGGGGAGUACGGCCGCAAGGUUGAAAACUCAAAGGAAUUGACGGGGACCCGCACAAGCGGUGGAGCAUGUGGUUUAAUUUCAAUGCAACGCGAAGAACCUUACCCAGGUUUUGCCAUGACAGAACUUACCAGAGAGGGUUUGGUGCUCGAAAGAAA
rnacentral:rRNA from 1 species